CAGCCGCCGCGGUAAUACCGGCGGCCCGAGUGGCGGUCACUAUUAUUGGGCUUAAAGCGUCCGUAGCCGGGUUGGGAAGUCCUCCGGGAAAUCUGGCCGCUUAACGGUCAGAAUGCCGGAGGAUACUCCCAGCCUAGGGAGCGGGGGAGGCCGAGGGGAUUCCCGGGGUAGGGGUGAAAUCCUAUAAUCCCGGGAGGACCACCUGUGGCGAAGGCGCUCGGCUGGAACGCGUCCGACGGUGAGGGACGAAGGCCAGGGGAGCAAACCGGAUUAGAUACCCGGGUAGUCCUGGCUGUAAACGAUGCGGACUUUGUGUCGGACAAGCUAUGAGCUUGUCCGGUGCCGGAGGGAAACCGUUAAGUCCGCCGCCUGGGGAGUACGGCCGCAAGGCUGAAACUUAAAGCAAUUGGCGGG
rnacentral:rRNA from 1 species